CAUGCAAGUCGAACGAUGAAGCUCCUGCUUGCUGGGGUGGAUGAGUGGCGAACGGGUGAGUAAUGCGUGAGUGACCUGCCCCCUUCUUCGGGAUAAGCCUUGGAAACGGGGUCUAAUACCGGAUAUUCCCAUCACGGGGCAUCUUGUGGUGGGGAAAGUUUUUUCGGUGGGGGAUGGGCUCGCGUCCUAUCAGCUUGUUGGUGGGGUGAUGGCCUACCAAGGCGUCGACGGGUAGCCGGCCUGAGAGGGUGACCGGCCACACUGGGACUGAGAUACGGCCCAGACUCCUACGGGAGGCAGCAGUGGGGGAUAUUGCACAAUGGGCGCAAGCCUGAUGCAGCGACGCCGCGUGAGGGAUGAAGGCUUUCGGGUUGUAAACCUCUUUUACUAUUGAACAAGGCGCCAUUUUUGUGGUGUUGAGGGUAGGUGGUGAAUAAGCGCCGGCUAACUACGUGCCAGCAGCCGCGGUAAUACGUAGGGCGCGAGCGUUGUCCGGAAUUAUUGGGCGUAAAGAGCUCGUAGGCGGCUUGUCGCGUCUGCUGUGAAAUCCUGGGGCUUAACUCUGGGCGUGCAGUGGGUACGGGCAGGCUAGAGUGCGGUAGGGGUGAUUGGAAUUCCUGGUGUAGCGGUGGAAUGCGCAGAUAUCAGGAGGAACACCGAUGGCGAAGGCAGGUCACUGGGCCGUUACUGACGCUGAGGAGCGAAAGCAUGGGGAGCGAACAGGAUUAGAUACCCUGGUAGUCCAUGCUGUAAACGUUGGGCACUAGGUGUGGGGGGCCUUUCCGGGUUUUCUGCGCCGUAGCUAACGCAUUAAGUGCCCCGCCUGGGGAGUACGGCCGCAAGGCUAAAACUCAAAGGAAUUGACGGGGGCCCGCACAAGCGGCGGAGCAUGCGGAUUAAUUCGAUGCAACGCGAAGAACCUUACCAAGGCUUGACAUACACCGGAAUCAUGCAGAGAUGUGUGAGUCUUCGGACUGGUGUACAGGUGGUGCAUGGUUGUCGUCAGCUCGUGUCGUGAGAUGUUGGGUUAAGUCCCGCAACGAGCGCAACCCUUGUCUCGUGUUGCCAGCAUUUGGUUGGGGACUCACGGGAGACUGCCGGGGUUAACUCGGAGGAAGGUGGGGAUGACGUCAAAUCAUCAUGCCCCUUAUGUCUUGGGCUUCACGCAUGCUACAAUGGCCGGUACAGAGGGUUGCGAUACUGUAAGGUGGAGCGAAUCCUUAAAGCUGGUCUCAGUUCGGAUUGGGGUCUGCAACUCGGCCCCAUGAAGUCGGAGUCGCUAGUAAUCGCAGAUCAGCAACGCUGCGGUGAAUACGUUCUCGGGCCUUGUACACACCGCCCGUCACGUCACGAAAGUUGGCAACACCCGAAGCCUAUGGCCUAACCGGUUUUUCCGGGGGGAGUGGUCGAUAGGUGGGGUUGGCGAUUGGGACGGAAAG
rnacentral:rRNA from 1 species